rnacentral:rRNA from 1 species
GACGAACGCUGGCGGCGUGCUUAACACAUGCAAGUCGAACGGAAAGGCCCUGCUUUUGUGGGGUGCUCGAGUGGCGAACGGGUGAGUAACACGUGAGUAACCUGCCCUUGACUUUGGGAUAACUUCAGGAAACUGGGGCUAAUACCGGAUAGGAGCUCCUGCUGCAUGGUGGUGGUUGGAAAGUUUCGGCGGUUGGGGAUGGACUCGCGGCUUAUCAGCUUGUUGGUGGGGUAGUGGCUUACCAAGGCUUUGACGGGUAGCCGGCCUGAGAGGGUGACCGGCCACAUUGGGACUGAGAUACGGCGCAGACUCCUACGGGAGGCAGCAGUGGGGAAUAUUGCACAAUGGGGGGAAGCCUGAUGCAGCAACGCCGCGUGCGGGAUGACGGCCUUCGGGUUGUAAACCGCUUUCGCCUGUGACGAAGCGUGAGUGACGGUAAUGGGUAAAGAAGCACCGGCUAACUACGUG